CGCAUCUGUGCAUGCAGCAUAUCAAUAAGCGGAGGAAAAGAAACUAACAAGGAUUCCCUUAGUAACGGCGAGUGAAGCGGGAAGAGCUCAAAUUUGAAAUCUUCAAGGUUUUACCUUGACGAAUUGUAGUUUAAAGAAGUGUUUUCUGUUGAAGUUUUGGUAAAAGUUCUUUGGAAUAGGACAUCAUAGAGGGUGAGAAUCCCGUAUUUGACCAUUAUUUUCAGCUGUGUGAUACACUUUCAAAGAGUCGGAUUGUUUGGGAAUGCAGUCCAAAAUGGGUGGUAAAUUUCAUCUAAAGCUAAAUAUUGGCGAGAGACCGAUAGCGAACAAGUACCGUGAGGGAAAGAUGAAAAGAACUUUGAAAAGAGAGUUAAACAGUACGUGAAAUUGUCAAAAGGGAAGCGUUUGACACCAGUGUUGUUUUCUCGAAAAUCAAUUAAAAAGAGUUAGAUUUUGUUGUGUAUUGACCUUAACAGCUUGCAUUUCAAUUUUCUUGCUUUUUUUAAUGCACUUUUCGUUUAACAAGUCAACAUCAGUUUCUUUUGUUGUAAAAAGGUCAUUGGAAGGUGGCUUUCUUUUCGGAGAAAGUGUUUAUAGCCUUUGACUCCUGCAAUCGGAGAGACUGAGGUCUGCAGCGUAGAUCCUUCGGGGUUAGAUACAUUUGUGCUAAGUUAUAGCUUUUUAUAGACAACUUGUUGACUAUGAUUAGUCUUGUAGCUUACUCGCUUAUGCUAUUUUACCUACGCUUAGGAUGUUGACACACGCGCGUGCUCGACUCUAUACAUGACUCUGUGCAUAUCAAUAAGCGGAGGAAAAGGAGGCUAUUACCUACGCUUAGGAUGUUGACACACGCGCGUGCUC
rnacentral:rRNA from 1 species